CCCCUUUGCUCUCUCUCUCUCUUCCUGCCAUGCGAAGAAGGUGCUUGCUUCCCCUUCACUCUUCCACCAUGGUUGUACAUUUCCUGAGGCCUCCCCAGCCAUGCUUCUUGAACACCCUGUGGAACUUUCCUCUGUUUGCUUUGGACUUGCUCAGUCCAAAUACCUGACCUCAUCUGGCAACUCCCAGAUGAUCCUCAGUCCAAGAGUGGAGUAAUAAUUUGGACAGCAGCAGAACCAAGAAUGAUGACCAAGUCUUCUAAUGCUUAUUUGGCGCUAUCAUAAUGAUUAUCCAUUUCUCUUUUAAUACAAAAGCAAGUAUUCAUGGAAAAUAAAAUGUAUUUGGAGAUCUUUGAGAAGAUGUGUUGUCUUAACAAAUUGAAUGUCAGUACCCAUUGCUUAUCACACAUUAUAUCAAUCUCAUUCAACAAACUUUCCUUUGUCAGUAAGAGGCCUUGAAUAUAAACUUUACUUUCAAAUAAUAUCAGGUCCACUUUCCAGGAAAGACUAGUAGAUUUCCAG
rnacentral:lncRNA from 1 species